GCUCCAGGGCCAGCACCUGCAGCGGCACCCCGAGCUGCGGCGCACUCAGGCCCACGCAGCGCCGGCGCCGCAUCACCUCCACCAGCCGCUGCACCAGCCGCUGCACCUCGGGCCCCGCCAGCUGCGCGGGUUCUACCGGGGCCGCCACGGUCCUCAGCACCGGGUCCCCGACCUGGCACACGCGUGGGUAGGGUGGCUUGGGCGCUCCCCGCACCAGACGCCGCAUGUAGCGCCAGUAGGAACGCCGGAGCGCCGGGCCCCCGAGGUCUUCUGGGGCGGACGUGGACCUGUAGGCCCGGGCGCCGCCGCCGCCUGCCCCUUCCCACCACAGCAGGGCUGGCCCCGUGCGGCGAGGUACCCGCGCCAGCAGCAGCCCGCCCCGCAGCCAGCCCAUGGUGCGCCCGGCCGAGCAGGCCGCUCGCCAGCACGCGUCCCUCCCCAGCUCCUGUAGCCGAUCGCUCCCUCCGCAGAGGACGCCGGGAAGCGUAGUCCUGCGUCGUCUGAGAGCUCCGACGCUACCAGUGAAGCCCACCUCUUGGUGACGCCAAUCACCUUUAUUAAUUCCAUUUCUUAUUGUAUAAUCAACCAUUUACAAGAGUGGCGGAGAAAGGCGAGAGGCCCCUGGACGACGCCAAUGUUCACAUGCCCAAGGUUUCCGUACUUGGAGAGCUGAGUGGGUGGAAUGCCUGACACAGACCGGAAGAAAAGUGACAGAGAAAAGACGCUUAAUAAAUUCAAAUAUUUAAGUGUCACAGGAGGAAAAGAAACACUAAGAGGAACUACCAGAUACAAUUACCGUAUUUCAAUAUAGUAAAAGGCAUCUUUGUGAUAUGGAACAGGAAGCUAUUCUGUAAAGUAAGGCUUUGAACAUAAUCCAGAACAGCACAGUGUGGGGCAGACAGGUCUGUGCUAUCUGAGCUGGAGGAAAAAGGACUUGGAGACAGCGAUUUAAAUAAGGAACAAGGUCUUCCAGGAAGACAGUGCAGAACUGGACAAAGAGCUCUUGCUCCCCACUGCUAAAGGCAGCCUCUUCAGCACGAUGGAAGGCCAGGAUUAUUUUGGUUACCUAAGAGACAAGGACACCAUCAAUCACUGGGAUAGUCUACCAUCAUCAGCAGUGCACAAGACUAAGCACAAAUGUGCAGCCCUCAAGUUUCCAUGAAGAAAGUUGCUCUAAACUGUACAUUACUAUCUUGUUUAUAUUUCAGAAUUGUGGAUUGUGGUCACUCUUCAUUGAUGUAUUUCUGACCCAAUGUGUUUCAUUACUGGCACAGUUUCCAGUUCCCCUAAAAGAGCAUCAUUAAACUGUAAAGGGAAUACACAGACCAGAUAGACCAGAACUACAUUAGAUCCAGGAAAAUUAGGCAAAACCAUAUGACACUUUUACUGAGUGUGGUCUUUGACUAGACAACUAGAAAAUUGUAAAGGACAAAGAAAACUGAGCUGGGAAGGAAUUUCCAUAUGGGAAUAACAAAACAGCCUAGCUGACAUUACAGCCCAGUCUCACAGAGACAAGGUUAAGAACAUACACUCUGGUGCUAGACUUCCUGGCUCAAGUCUUACUUGUGCUACUUACUGGUUCUGUGACUUCCAAGUGAUUACUUAAGCACUCUGUGCUCUCUGUGUCUCAGCUUCCCAUCUAUAAAGUAGGGCCAGCAACAGGAUCUACCUCAUGGGGUUGUGAGGAUCAAGUCUUACUCUGUAUGAUGAAUGCUAGCUGGCAUGGAGUAAGUUCUAUAUAAAUAUUAGCUGAUUACUAUUACCUGAAUUUCAUUGAGCCUAAAAAGCUUCAAUGCUCAUGCUUUCUUGCUCUUAUAAGAGGACAUCAACAGUAAGAUUUUAUGCAACCAUGUCACAACUAUCACCUGGCUGACAGCAAUUAUAAGAUGCCAUCAAUUUAAGAAGCAUCCCAGUAUCUAAAGGUUUAAAUGUGUAAAAGUUGUGCGCCAUACUAGGAUAUUAGUAGUACUAGCAGUAUUUUGUUAAGUAGAAUCGUUAAGAUGGUUCUUGUGAUUCCCACCCCGUAGUAUCCACUCCUUUGUGUAAUCCCCUUCCCUUGAGUGCAGGCAGAACUGGGGCUUGUAUCUAACCAACAGAAUAAAGCAAAGGUGAAGGACUUUCCAGAUGUAAUUAAAGUCCCAACUUGACAGCUGACUUUUAACUAAUCAAAAGGGCUAAUAUCCUGGGUGGCCUAACUUGAUCAGGUGAGCUUUAUAAAAGAGGAGAGAGGACUUUCCUAAAGGAAGAGGCUUAUACAGGAGAGAUGCUCUCCCAUGGACCCUGAGAAUCAAAAAGCCGCACUGAACAGCCUAUGGAGUGGUGUGGCCUUUAUGAACCUAGGGCCUCAGUGCUACAACUGCAAGGAACAGAAAUCUGCUAACAUGAAUGAGCUUGAAAGCAACCAAGUUCCAGAUGAGACUGCAGCCUGGCCAACACCUUGACUGCAUCUUGUGAGAUCCUAAGCAGGGGACCCAGUUAUGAUGUGCUUGGGAGAUGACAAAUGUAUGUUGUUUUAAGUUGCUAUGUUUGUGGGAGUGUUAAUGCAACAACAGAAAACAAAUACACUACUGAAUCAUUA